GAUGAACGCUAGCGGUGUGCCUAAUGCAUGCAAGUCGAACGGGAUCCUUUAGAUUCGUCUUAAGGUGAGAGUGGCGGACGGGUGAGUAACGCGUUGGUGACCUGCCCCAGAGAGGGGGACAACCAUUGGAAACGAUGGCUAAUACCCCAGAUGUCAUUGUGUUUAGAAAACAAUGACUAAACGCUCCGGCGCUCUGGGAGGGGCCUGCGUCCCAUCAGCUAGUUGGUAAGGUAAUGGCUUACCAAGGCAAAGACGGGUAGGGGGCGUGAGAGCGUGACCCCCCACACUGGUACUGAAACACGGACCAGAUACCUACGGGUAGCAGCAGCAAGGAAUAUUGCCCAAUGGACGAAAGUCUGAGGCAGCAACACCGCGUGGAGGACGAAAGCCUUCGGGUUGUAAACUCCUUUUCUGGGGGAAGAGAACGGACGGUACCCCAGGAAUAAGGCCCGGCUAACUACG
rnacentral:rRNA from 1 species